GCGGGGGAGGGCGAGGGCGCGCCCGAGGCCUCCCCCGGCAACCAAAACCCCGGCGCCCCAGGCGCCAAGGAACAGAAAAUGAAAGCGAGGCGCGCUCGCUGGCGGCCCGGGAACGGCGCCGACCCCCCAGCGGCCGCGCCUCUUGCCACAUUCAAAUGUGCAUCCGAAACGACUCUCGGCAACGGAUAUCUCGGCUCUCGCAUCGAUGAAGAACGUAGCGAAAUGCGAUACUUGGUGUGAAUUGCAGAAUCCCGUGAACCAUCGAGUCUUUGAACGCAAGUUGCGCCCGAAGCCGUCAGGCCGAGGGCACGCCUGCCUGGGCGUCACGCAGCGUCGCCAACGCCCGAUCCUGCGGGCGUGGCGGAUGAUGGCCUCCCGGGAGCCCCGCCUCCCGGCUGGCCGAAAAGGGGGCCCAACGUGGCGACCGCCACGAUCCACGGUGGUUUGAGCGAACGCUCUCGCGAGGCCGAGACGUGCGCGCGUCGUCCCACCGGUCUUGGGCCCGUCGGCAAAGAUGUUACCACAGUUGCCCGCUCGUACGCGACCCCAGGUCAGGCGGGG
rnacentral:rRNA from 1 species